rnacentral:rRNA from 1 species
GAUUAACGCUGGCGGCGUGCAUAACACAUGCAAGUCGAACGAGUGGCGGACGGGUGAGUAAUGUAUGGGGAUCUGCCUGAUGGCGGGGGAUAACUACUGGAAACGGUAGCUAAUACCGCAUACCAUCAGAUGAACCCAUAUGGGAUUAGCUAGUAGGUGAGGUAACGGCUUACCUAGGCGACGAUCCCUAGCUGGUCUGGGAGGAUGAUCAGCCACACUGGGACUGAGACACGGCCCAGACUCCUACGGGAGGCAGCAGUGGGGAAUAUUGCACAAUGGGCGCAAGCCUGAUGCAGCUAUGCCGCGUGUAUGAAGAAGGCCUUCGGGUUGUAAAGUACUUUCAGUCGGGAGGCGUUACCGACAGAAGAAGCACCAGCUAACUCCGUGCCAGCAGCCGCGGUAAUAC